rnacentral:rRNA from 1 species
UACGUAGGGUGCGAGCGUUAAUCGGAAUUACUGGGCGUAAAGCGUGCGCAGGCGGUUUUGCAAGCCGGAUGUGAAAUCCCCGGGCUCAACCUGGGAAUGGCAUUCGGGACUGCAAGGCUGGAGUGCGGCAGAGGAGACUGGAAUUCCUGGUGUAGCAGUGAAAUGCGUAGAUAUCAGGAGGAAUACCGAUGGCGAAGGCAGGUCUCUGGGCUGACACUGACGCUGAGGAGCGAAAGCGUGGGGAGCAAACAGG